ACAGCAUGGUGUGGGCACUUCCUAAUCAAUUUCUUCAACCUCUCUUAGGUCUCAUGAAACAUUUCUCCAUCCAUUUGGGAAAAGUUAGUUAUUGCUUUUCAGAUUU